CCAAAAUACUGCCUUAUACAGAAACACUGAGCGGAGGCCUCAGCAAACCGGUUCAAGGACUGAGGGCUUUGUCUGCAGAGGGAGCAUAAAGGAACAGAGUCAGAACUUUGGCUGGAGUUCAAGCUGACCUCGUUGCUCUGUGCAAAUAUCUGCCACCAGAUGGCGAUGGAGACCACUGCACAGACUGGAUGAGUACUGUAAAGUCCAGAGGGUCCUGUACAGUGAAGAGAGCCCUUGUGGGACAAUUCACUGAGGGGCUCCUGCUUUUUUCGUGGAUCUUUGAUGACGGCGCGGAGCAGAGCCGGAGACUGAACGACACAUUCGGAGAAAACCAGACCAGCUCUGGUGUUUGGACUGAGAUGUUCUCAGCUCAAUUGUUAAAUAAACACAUUUUAUUACCUCAAAAUCAAAUGCAAUAAAAAACCUGUUGACUCUAAAGUAAACAUGAUGCAGAAA